rnacentral:lncRNA from 1 species
CCCAACUCCCACUUUGGGAAGGGGGCCUGGGGUCAUGAGCCAAUGCAACUUCACCAUCUGUCUGGCUACACAUCUAUGGUUUUGUCCACGUACUCUUUUUCCUGUGAGGGAGGUCAUGUAACACACUUUCCGUGGAGGUGCAGACCUGGCCUAGCGACCAAGGCCCAGCUCCAUCCCCUCCUGACCUAAUUCCAGAACGUUCCGGGCAAACAAAAAUGGCAGCCGCCUGAGGGGAAAAUAGGCGAAGGUGAAGCGAGGAGCUUGGCUGAGUCACAGACCAUUUCACCGGGUUCUCGCCAGAAAUGUAUUCAAGCAACUAAAUUGGUGACAACAUGUAACGAAAGACAGGUACAUUCUGCAGUUGUGUAGGUGAGAAAAUGUCAGCAGAUGGGCUUUUCGCACCUGCGCUCAGCAAGGUUUGCCUGCUCUAAUUCCCCCACAUUUCUUGCUUCCACAGAGUCAUUGACCUUGGUUGCACUGAGCUAUGAAGGUGGCGCAUUUCAGAGGUGCAGAGCUUUGUGUAGCAGCAGGGAGGGUGACACCCCUAUCCCCAAACGCAUGCCAGGCUCGUAGGGCUGUAUUCAGUGCUAGUAGACUGUGCAGAGUAGACUUUUGAAGCAUGCUGAGGAAAAACUUGGUUGGCUACAAGACAUAACCGUUGGGGGCAAUGGUGGAGGAAAACCAGCGCAAAACAGGCAGGACGGAAACACCAGCUAAUUAAUGGUAUUAAUUAGUUGUAUUUUUUAAAAGGGGGCCUCAGAACUGCAUGCCAUCCUAGAGCUGUGAUCCCUGUCGCCAUUGAUCAGGACAGUGGAAAGUAAACAUGGAAGCUGCCUUGUAGGGAGGUUUAUCUAGCAAAGUGUUGCUUACAUUGACCAGCAGCCAUUCCCUAGGAUUUCAGGCAGGGAGUGUUCCCAGCCCUAGCCUGCAUCUUGUUCAUUAUUAUCUCUGCAAGGGAGUAGAGCCUUUAAUGCAAGAUGAAAAUUAUGGGGGAAAGCCUGGGGUUUCCAUAAGAGAACUGCUCUGGCCCCCAUUCCUCACCCUUCUGUGGCUCCAAACCUAUUAUAGCUCUUCAUUUUCCAUCUCUUCUGUUUCUGCUCCAAGAAUAAACUAAGAAACUCCACCCUCCGUUUUACAGUAACAAAGGGAGGGGCCUAAUCCAGCCCUCCAGGUUUCCCCUCAAGAAUCACAAGGCUUUACACUUCCCAUGAUUUUGUACCAAAACAUCUAAACCAUUCUUGGCAAUGGCAAAGUUCGGUGGCUGCUUUGUAUCAGUGAGAUACAAAUCUAAGAAACAAAUCAAUAAGGCACCAGGCUUUCGGAAGAGAUAAAUCACUGUGAAGGCCAAUGGCCUCCCUCUAUGAGGCAUUUUAAGGCUUCUCAGGCUAUUUCUAGGCUAUUGCUCUUUUGCAGCUGGGAUCCAAUCACCUGUCGUCAAAUUCAAGUUGGGGAACUGAAGGGAUUUGUACAACAAAACUGCUUAAGCCAAGAAAAAUGGGGGUGGACUUUUUGCAGUAAGUGAUGUGGGGGAAACCACUGGAAAAGCAGGAUAGCAAUUGCUUGACAUUGUGGUACCUCCCCUGCAAACAAAUCGGAAUCGAUGCUCCAUAAAGAGCGGGCGUCAUGCAGCCACUCGAGCGAAUUUUGUGCAAACAAAUCAGGCCGAAUGCUCAAUAAGCAGGUCGUGUGGAAGCGAGAUGAGAGAGACAAGAAAAAGCUCAGUUGCGUUUUGUCCUUCCACUUCUCCCAAGCCUUGCUGGGGGGUUGCGUGACUGGGAACCUCUUGCAAACAGGCACUUAAGAAAGCCCCAUUUACAGAUAUUUUCAGUGUUGUAGUCUUGAAAUAUUAAGCACUGCGCUGUCAAAGCUGAUAACUCUGACGCUAGAUUCCCACAGGUACAAGCAGCCGUUAACCUAGAAUUCUGGAACGACUUUUCCUGCAAAACUGUCUCACACUUGAACCACCCUCUUUAGUGUGUUGAAGAGAAAGGCUGUGUACUCGCCAUAGAUUUGAAGCACAUUCAUCAUGCCAAAGAAUCCUGGGAACUAUAGUUCACACCUCACAGAGCUACAAUUCCCAGCGCCCUCAGCAAACUACAAUUCCCAGUAUUCUCAGAGUGGUGUGUGCUUUAAAUCUACAGUGUGCAUGCAGCCAAAACAAAAGCCAAUUACGAGUGAGCAUGGUUUGUUUCACCUUAGCAAUGGGGCCGGCUUGCUGGAUGCAUCUAUUUGUGCCUCUUAUUGCUAAACACACCCCACAAAAAUACCCCUAUUUAUGUAUUUUAAAGCCUUAGGUUUUAAAAGACAGGGAGGCAACAGGUCGAAAGGAAUUGCACAACAAAUGGGGGAAAGGAAAAGGAACAAAGGCAGCAACUGCUCUGAAUUUGGAAAGCGGGUUACACAACCACACUCACGGCCAAUUAACAUCUCGGCAGGCCACUUGGUUCAGAAGGCAGACGGAUGGCGUGCAAGACCUGCAAGACCGGCAGCCAAAAGAGCAAGGGAGAGACAGCACAUAUGCCAAGAGCUGGCACUCUACCACUUCUCACAAGUAUAGUCAAAUUUCUCUUUUCCCCCCACCGGAAAAAAUGUUUCAAAUGUCCAACAUUAAUCCUGUAAAGAAAUGGAGCAGAGGGAAGCAGACUUGAGUUGACAAAUGGAGACAACAGCCUAAUUUGGAAUGAAUGCAGGGAGAUUGCUUAUUUUCCAUCUUUUCCUUUGUUUUUUAAACGAGUUUUUUUUUUUUUUUGCAUGUUGCAGAACUAGGGAAAUGAAUCAGCGUUGUUUUCCGAGAGCAGACAGGGCUGACAGACUCUUAUGAAAAGCCUUUUCAGUUUUCAGGGAAGACCACCUAGUUGCUAUAGACAUAAUAAUCGGGGGGGGGGGGGGAGAGGCGUUUGUAAGAAGCCUAUGCCUUUUUCACAGCAUAGCUAAAGAUGUAAAAAAAGCCCUGCUAGUAUAGACCAGAGGCCUAUCUGAGCCACCCCUUUGUUUGGUUAUCUGUUUUGACACAUGGACUACUUAUGUGUUUAAAUUAAGAUGGGUGGAUUAUUGUUAUUGUUCAUGUGAGCUGAUACUGCUUCUCUCUGUUACAUCUGAAAUUGUGUGUACACUCGGGUUGCGAACGUGAUCCGUGCGGGAGGCAUGUUCGGAACCCGCAAUGUUUGCAACACACAGCACCGCACAUGCAUGGGUUGUGAUUCGGUGCUUCUGCGCAUGCACGACCUCCGAAACCCGGAUGUAACCCGUUCUGGUACUUCCAGGUUUCGGCGGGUCUGUAACCCGAAAAAACACAACCUGAAGCGUCUGUAACCCGAGGUAUGAUUGUAUAUGUAUGUACAUACACAAACAAACAAACAAACGCACAAGCCCUGCUUCCCAGCAAAUGUAUCAUAUGGCCUAAGAUCGAGAUUUAUAGCCAUCAAUACUAGUAAGAAUACAAGAAACAUUAAGAUGAGCCUGUUGGAUCAGGCCCACCUAGGCCAGCAUCCUGUUCUCACAGUGGUCAACCAGAUGGUUGUAGUAAACCACUGAAAAACUUCUCCAUGAGCAUGUCUAACCCUCAAAGCUGCUGGCCACCUCUACAUCAUGCGCCAGUUCUUUCCAUACCUCUAAAUCCAAACCUUAAACUCUGCAUUUUGCAAUUACAGUAUAUGCUUCCAUUUGUCUCCCCAGAAUCUCCUGCUAAUCAGCCCCGUUGUGUGACUCUUACUUAAACUUGAGGAAGUUUCCAUUCAAAGAAGUGUUUCUAACUUCCAAAUUUUGGAUGCAGCGCUCUCCCUGCCUCUGACGUUUCCAAGGCACACAGGGCCGUUGAGAACACAUUGGCAGAAGCAACCCUGUUCUGAUUGUGUGCAGUCAGCUUUUUAAGGUCUACCUGAACAGCAGUAUACAAAUAUCUUCAUAAAUCAAUCCUCUUGCAGCCCAGUGGCUUGCCAAUGGCAGACAAGAUAUGCACAGCGGCAGAAGACACCCCCCCCUCCCAAAGGUGAAAAUGAAGAGUAUUGGUAGCAGAGUGAUGUGCAUGCUUCAAUUCAAGAAAUUGAAAGGUACAUUGAACUGAAAUUCAGGAGGAGCAGAAUACAGGGCAAAGUCAACCCACAGGGCAAAUACAGGAAGCAACUGGGUAAAUCCACUCAUCUCUCAAAUGGGGAUUUGGAUAGGAGCCUAUAUAAACCAAGGGAUUGCCAGUAUGCAAAAACAAAAAACCUCCUCCCUGUUGCUUGUAUCUAGUCCAAACCUCUGGCUAUGGCAGUAUCUGCUCAAGCCGCACAUCCCAACAAAGAGAAGUCCAUUUAGAUAUGACCCAUCACAGACUUCCGGGUCAGCGCCAUUGGUGAAUGGCGGAGUUCCUCCGAUCGGAGGAACGGGCUCUGUGAAAACUGGGUCUUCCCGCCGCGGCGAAGGUGGGGACCCGCUAGAAAUCCCAGGCGGAGGAAGCCUGGGAACGUGGGGUUCGGCAGGGCACCAGAAGCGCCCCCCUACUCGCGGGGAAUCCCAGCUAGGGGCUCCGGAGCGAAGUGGGGUGAGAAGCGCAGUGCUACGAACUGACUGCUACUUUCACGGAGUGAAGCCGCACAGCCAUUGCCAGAGAGCACUGACUUUUUCCUGUGGACAAUUGGACUUAAAACAAGUACCCGUGAGUAGAAACGGAAAAUUGGAUCAAGAAAUUGCUUUAAUUUGGUAUCGAAGCGGGAAGGUGCAAACAGGAAGUCCGCCUUCCGCUUUUUUGUAUAUAGACUAAAGCAAAAAUUUUGCAAGCUAAAGCCGGGAAGUUGUUAAAAAAGACUAAAUUUCCCUCAUUUAGAACCACUGAAACCCCCCCUUGGAAGCAGGAGAAAAGGGGGGGGGGACUUCGCUUAAUCCCAGCAGGAGAGGGAGUGAAGAAGGAUAAGUUUCCACUGUCUCUAACCUGGGAACGGGGUGUCAGAGACAGAAAACUGUCGGAGAGGUUCAUUGACUGUGAACGUAACAUUUUGACAGAUAGCUGAUGAAGAGAAACAAGUUGACUCUAAUGUUGCCUUUUGCAUCUUAAAGAAACAAAAUACCUGAAAAAUAUCUGAAGUAUCUGAAAAAUAAAAGUAACUUUCCUUUGUCUUAAAAAAAAAAAAUGGAUACAAGUAGAUUGUCUCCUCUAGAGGGAGUUUGCUAAAUUGUUGCUGCAGCAUAUUUGAGACCCAACAUCUGUGAGAUAAAGACUGUGGGAACAGUCUUUUCUGAACUUGAACGAAGAUGAGCUGGGAGAAAGACUGGGUGCUUGCUCUAUGCAAGACAAAUGCUUUGUUGGAACAGAUGCAUGAGAAGAUGGACUUGAUGAAUGAGAAAAUGGAUUUGACUGUUGUGGUUAAUAAAAUUGAUACAGAAACCAUCCAAGAACCAAUCUAUCAAUCUGCACUGACUGGGCAAGUGCAGAUGACAAUAGAGGAGGAUGCGGCUGCACCUCAAAUAGUACAAAUGGAGAGACCCGAGGCCCUACAGGAGCAUAAGCCGCUGUUUUUGAAAAUUGAAGUUGGAGUGGGCCAAGGGGAGUCUGGAGACGAGGAGGUUCCUAGCCUUGGAGAGACCUUGAAAUUUGAUCUUAAAUUCAUUUUGGAUUAUAUUGAGGACUGUGGGGAGUGGGACUGUGGGGAACGGGUGAGCUGGAUGAAGGGUGAUGGAGAUAAUUUUGGGUUGGAAUCCCCCAGAGACCUACUCCUCAAUGAGAAAGGAAAGAAUCUAAGACAGAGACCAACAAAAGACAAGGAAAAGGGCAAGCACAAACAAGAUGAAGAAGAAUUGCAGAAGGGACAUGGAAGAGAUUUAAGGGCCUCGGACAUAAGGCUUCCAGGUUGAUGGACUAGAUGGAAUGGACAAUAAGGACUGACAUGACCCGUUACCAGGAAGAAGAGACGCUGGAUGAUGAUUGAAAGAGAAUUUAUAAUGGGAAUUUUUUAUUUUAGAAUUAGUUAAUGAAUAUUAGGGAAAAUGUGGGAAUGAAACUAUACGACUCUAGCAGAAAUGAUAUUAGGAGCUAUGUAUAUUUGAAAUUUAAGAUUUAAGUUUUAAGGCACUUAGGGGUAAGAUAAGGUCAAAUAAAUUAAGGUAAUUUGAAUAACAGAAUAUGGGGAAAGAUGGUAAGGAUUUGUUGAGUUAACUAUUAGGUUAAAUUGUUAAGAUAAAUUUUAUAACAAAAAUUGAGAAAGAUGGAAAGAAUUUGCUGAAAUAAUUACUAAACUAGAAUACAAAAACGGAGGUGUGAGGAGGUCAAUGAAACAAGCAAAUGGAAAUUAUGGAUAUGCAAUCUGGGAUUUGUGUGCUUUUUUUUUCUUUUUUCUUCUUUUUUUACUUUCUUUUGCUGUAUUGUCGUAUUGGUUUUUCAUGUUUUUCAUAUUUUGUGCUUUUCUCUUUUUUUUAAUUGCUUGUCUUUUUUUCUUUUUUGUAUGGUAGUGUUGUUUUUUAUUUGUUCUUAUUCUUGUAAUUUUGAAAUUAUCAAUAAAUCUUAUUUUUAAAAAAAAUAAUAGAUAUGACCCAUCACAUAUGGACCAUGGCCAACAUUCAGUCUAAUUGCUUACCUAUUAAAUGCCCAUAAAUAACUGAUCCUAAGCCACCUCCACACAGAUUGGGCUCCUAUUGGGAACGAUCAUGUAUGAGUAUUUGUAGAAACAUAUGCAGCUGCCUUGUACCAUUGUUCCACCUAACUCAGUAUUGUCUGCACUGACUGGCAGCAGCUCUCUAGCAGCCUUAGACGGGCGUUCUUCCAAGCCCUACCUGGAGAUGCCAGAGAUGGAAGCUGAGAUUGGAGCCUGCAAAGCACAUGUUCUGCCACCGAAACUCUGUCUGUACAGUAUUAUCUGUGACAAUCUACUACUGUGCAGGUGUGACUGGAACAUGGAUCUACACACCCCUUAUCAUAACAGCAGGAAUUUGGCCAUGCAGGUGGCAGUGCCGGCACAACCCAUCCCUUUGAAUGACUAAUGUGUCUUGCCUGGGAACCUGCUUGAGAUGAAUCAUGUGUCAGGCAUGCAAAAGCCAUGCUGCAAGGAUGCUUUCCAAUAGCUUGGCCUACCUGGGAGCCAGCAUUUAAAAUGAUACCUCUGGUCAGGCUUUGUUGGUCCAGCAUGGGUGUAACUUUUGGGUUUCCAAGGAUGCCUCACUGCUGCCCAGGUUCCGCUCCUCUUAUCUCGGGAGGCCUUUGUAAGCCACACUGCCGUGCCAUCUGUAGGAAGUGUAAAUAUUUUAUUACCAGGAAGCGGGGAGGGAGAGAUAAAAAAUCACAUUUCUGGAAAAAGGCAGCAGGAUGCCACAGAAACUACAGCCAUCAACUCAUUUUCCAGCCGAUAAUUACCACGACUGUGCUAAAUGAGUUUCUGCAGCCAUUUCGUUCCAAGUUGUGGAAGAUUUCACUGCAGGGUCCAAAUCAAUACCUAUUUUUACAUCAGCCACAUUUUUAAGUACAGUGGUACCUCAGGUUAAGAGUUUAAUUCGUUCUGGAGGUCCGUUCUUAACCUGAAACUGUUCUUAACCUGAGGUACCACUUUAGCUGAUGGGGCCUCCUGCUGCCGCCGUGCAAUUUCUGUUCUCAUCCUGAAGCAAAGUUCUUAACCCGAGGUACUAUUUCUGGGUUAGCGGAGUCUGUAACCUGAAGCGUCUGUAACCCGAGGUACCACUGUACUUGUCAACAUCAUGUCCAUUCAUCACCCAAAGUUUACAUGUUUAAAAGAUUGUGUAAAAAUGAGAAACAUGCCUUUGAUACUUGGCCUGUUGUUGCCUUUGAUACUUGACCUGUUGUUCCAUGAGAGAUUCACGUUUCAGCAAUCAAUCAAGCUUGCCUCUCAGCUCCACCCCUUCAGAGCAGCAGCAGGGAACCUGUGGCUCUCCAGAUGUCUGCAGAUGCCACCAUCCCUGACAACCAGCUGUGCUCCCUGGGGCUGAUGGGAGUUGGAGUCCAUCCAUGCAGUUCCCCGCCCCUGUCCCACUAACAAAAGUGUAAAGGAGCUGCUUCUUGGUGGAUUAAAGUGCCCCUCCAUAAGCUACAUUUGACACGUUUGUGGGCUGGGAAGCAGGAAGAGAAGUUAAGACAUUUAAACUUGGGAGGCACACAAGACACAUGCACAGGUUGUUGUUCACAGAACAGAGGGAAAUCCUCUGGGCAACUGCAGCAUAUCUGUUAAUAUUGCCACCCUCCACUUUUCUCAGUAUGGCCAGAGUUCAGGCACAAUGUGUUUUAUGGGCGAUGAUGUUUCUUCAUAGAUUCUGUGUCAGCUCACAGUGAAGUUGCACCAAAGAAUCCCAGCACAUCAUUAGUCCCACUCUGUGGAGGGUGGCUUUUAGGGCUGGAUGUUAUUGUCCAAAACCAAUCCAUAUUGUGCUAUCGGUUGAAAUAAUUUUUGACCUGGCAAUGUAUGUUAGGGCUGGGCGAUGUAUGAUCCAAAAUGGGUUUGAAGUCCAUAUCGUUUCAUCCGUUUCAUAAUUUUGACCUUGCAAUAUAUCACGAAUCAUGGUGUGUAUGUGUGUGCUAUGCAAAAAUCACAAUGUGGAAAAAACCGUGAAGCCAGCCAAUGCCUCUACAAAGCUCCCUUAUUUCAGACAUCAUUAUAUAUCAGUAUAUUGCAAUGUUUAGUGGGUGAUAUAUCACAAUGUUGAUAUAUCACGCAGCCCGUGGCCUUGCUCACAUACUGGCACAAAGAAGGGCAAUGAGAACACGCCAUAUUGCAUGGAGCUACUAUUUCUUCUGGGAAUCGUAGGGUGGUAGAUGCACUCGACAGGACAGCUUAAUUUGCGAGCGCUCACUAGAUAAAGCCAAGGACAGGGAAUCUGUGGACCUGCAAAUGCUGUGGGCUAGCUUAUCUUCCAUCCUCUCAGACCAUUGGCCCAUCCGAUCCCUGCUCAUCCCGACUCACACAAGCAAGCAACUCUUAGUUAUGGAGAAGAAGAUUUGAAGCAAUCUGGGCAAAUGUUUUUAUUUCUGGAAGCCUGCCCUUAUUAGUGGUGGCUACAUGAGGUUCUCUCUCUUGCUGGCAUGUUAUCUCAGGAGGCUUAAAGAGCUUAAAGCAGGGGUCAGCAAACUUUUUCAGCAGGGGGCCGGUCCACUGUCCCUCAGACCUUGUGGGGGGCUGGACUAUAUUUUGGAAAGAAAAAAAAAUGAACGAAUUCCUAUGCCCCACAAAUAACCCAGAGAUGCAUUUUAAAUAAAAGCACACAUUCUACUCAUGUAAAAACACCAGGCAGGCCCCACAAAUAACCCAGAGAUGCAUUUUAAAUAAAAUGGCAUAUUCUACUCAUGUAAAAACAUGGUGAUUCCUGGACUGUACACGGACCGGAUUUAGAAGGCGAUUGGGCCAGAUCCGGCCCCCGGACCUUAGUUUCCCUACUCAUGGCUUAAAGUGUUGGUGGAAGGUAAAUUAGAUCAUGCGAUGGAGCCUCUAGGAUGAAACAGUGGGGGUGGGGGGGGUAGCACAGGUGGGCAAGGAGAGAUUCUCACCUCUUAGCACUUGUGGCACAUUAUGUGGAAGCAGGACUUGUUGCCUGACAAGAGGGAGGGAUGUUCCAAGCCUCCCCCACUCCCAAACCUCUUUAGAACUGGCUGCUGACUAAAAUAGGUCUUCCCAGAACCUCUGCAGACAAGAGACUCUCAAAGGCACAGAGUUACUGCCAUUCAUUAUGUGUUUAAUAACCAAGGCUUCUUUCAAAAGCCUCUGUGGGCCAAACCUUCAAGCAGGUGGCUAAAUACUUUGCAAGGUCAAGCGAGAGGGUGCAGGGCCCUCGGGAAUGAAUUAACACACCAAGACAAAAGGCACCCCCCCAAAAAAAAUUUAGGCACACAGUUUCCUUUGUAAUAAAUAAAUAAUAACAACAAUAACAAUAAUAAUAAUAAUAAAGAGGAUAUUGAAUGGAACACACAUGCAGCCUUAACCCUGAAGGAUGAAUUUCCUUGUCUGGACUCAAGAGCAGGGGUCUGAGGAGUUGGCAGCCACUAAAACCAGCUCUCCCGUAAAAACAGCACUCCUGGUAGCGUUUGCACAAUUUUAAAAAGGUGUUUUAAUGCAGUCAAUAUUCAUCAACAAACAAAUGGAUGUCAAUUCCUGCUCCUGACAGGCGAGAGAGGGUGUGAAUUUAAAAUAUUUUCAUUUUAUUUUUCUUAUCCAGCUCGGGAUUGUUGGCAAUUUCAGAUCUAGAAGAAUUUGUCUUGAUGGAAUUACUAAUUGGGAUAAUUCAAGUGCACCCAUGCAAACUUCCUUAGGAAAGGGGAAAGGGGGGGGGAUUCUAGAGAAAGAAAGGUGUGUGUGUGUGUGACUUUGAAGUGAUUCUCUUGCAUGAAGAGCUGUAGCGGUGCAGGAAGUGAGCUAGCCUGCUCCUGCACAUUGCAUGGUUACAGGGCAACUGCAAAGGGGGGGGGGUCUUCAAUGCCCCUGCCCAACCUACCACACAAUCGGCUUUCCCAUUCAUCACAAGCUACAGACAAUGGGAUGUUUCGGUAGAUGGAUUACUUUUAAAAACAAAGCUCAAGUGAGUCUGUUACUCGUUAAGCCAGGCUUCGUCAACCUGCUGUCCUCUGCAUGCUGGACCAUAACUCCCACAUGGGAUUUGUAGUCCUACAAGAUCUGGAGGAUACAAAGUUGGGGAAAGGGUGCAUUAAGUAUAUUUAAAGGGGGGGGGGGGAAUAAAACCUACUUUUGUGAGCCUUCACUGAGUGACUGGAUAUUUUAUAGAUUUAUUAAAAAAAAAGACAGCCAUAUGGAGGCGAGGCUCACUUCAGGUGAAAGCCUCAGCAACUAUUCCUUUCCCCAAGUUUUAAAAAUGUUAACAUUGUUUUUCAAAAAUCCAGUUAACAACAUAAUCCGGCCAGUGUUAAGGAAACUCCCUUUUUUUGGUUACAACAGUUGAAAGCGAGCAAAUCAUCCCUAAUACAGGUGAAAUUUAAAAGAAAUCCACCCCAAAAUAAGAGGCCUACUGUGUCACUGCUAAAUAUUAUUCCAAAACAGGGUUCCCUCCACUCUGGUUAAUUCUGGGCCUUUUCGACAGCAGCAGAGGAAACAGAAAUCCAAGCUUUUGCUACCUCUGAAUUUCUAUGUGAGCCAAAGGAACAUCUGCCGAACUACCUGGCCAGGCUGCUGCUAAUAAAGACACAGGAACGCCCCAGGAGAAAUCGUAUUCAGCUGGAGCUCAUUUCUUUGAGCAGAGAAGAAAUGGCCACUACUCUGAUUUCAAAACCAAAGGCUUGUUUGUAAUUGCUGUUGUUUUAAAACACACCCUCUUAUACAGAUAGUUACCAGCCAAACAGGGUUGACACUUUUAUCCAAGAGUCAAAUAUAUAAAAUUAAAGCAGAGUUUUUAUUCAAGUUGUGUGCGUGUGUGUGUGUUUUUAUCAUUUCCUUGGAGGGUAAACAUUCGCCACUUCUCUCGAGGUUCAUGCUCCUGAAAGAAGAAGAACCACCACCUUUGGCUUUUCAGUCAAGCAAAAGUGCUUUUGCACGGCCGUGAAAAUACAAUCCCUUGGGGAUUUGGGGAGCGGGCGGGUAGAGGAGUGACUACAACCUUAUAACCGAGCUAGCAAAGCUCUUACACCCUUUACGCACAGCGAGGGAUGGCCAGUUUGCAGCCGGAAAGUGGCAAGACCUAUCGUUCACACAAGUAGCCCACAUGAGAGGAGAAUCCCGUCACUUAAUGCUAUUGGAAAAGGGCUUGCAUUAGCACCAUCCCUGAAAGGCUGCCUAGUUUGGGAAACCUUUAGUGCUCCAGAUAUUGCUAAAAUACAGCUCCCAUCAUCCCUGGCUGUGCUAGAGUUGCAGUUAAACAAUAUCUAGAGGGCCAAAGGUUCCCCACUCCUGGCUUAGUUUUCACCCCCUUAUAGUACAUGCUUGGCAUCUGUGAACAGAGCUUAUGUGCAAAGCUGACCCAAAUUAUGGCAGACUUUUCUAUUUCGGGGGUGGAGGUGGCGGAGAGUGGAAGGCAAGAAGUAAAAAAACAACAGCAGCCCUCUCUACCAAACCAUGUACUGCUCCCUCUUGCCUCGGAACCAAGGGUUCAAAAAAGGUUAUUACUGAAUUCUCAGCUGACUGGCAGGUACAGAAUACUCUUUCAGACAAAAGUAAGCUUUUUUUCUCACCCAUAAAAACCAGGAGCCAAAUUAAAGGAAGCUAGCCAU